rnacentral:rRNA from 1 species
CCUACGGGUGGCAGCAGUGAGGAAUAUUGGUCAAUGGGCGCGAGCCUGAACCAGCCAAGUCGCGUGAGGGAAGACGGUCCUCUGGAUUGUAAACCUCUUUUGUCGGGGAGCAAAAGACGCCACGCGUGGCGUUCCGAGAGUACCCGAAGAAAAAGCAUCGGCAAACCCCGUGACAGCAGCCGCGUUAAUACGGAGGUUGCGAGCGUUCUCAGGAUUUAUUGGGUUAAAGGGGUGCGCAAGCGGAAGAUCAAGUCAGCGGUAAAAUUGAGGGGCUCAACCUCUUCGAGCCGUUGAAACUGGUUGUCUUGAGUGAGUGAGAAGUAUGCGGAAUGCGUGGUGUAGCGGUGAAAUGCAUAGAUAUCACGCAGAACUCCGAUGGCGAAGGCAGCAUACCGGCGCUCAACUGACGCUCAUGCACGAAAGUGUGGGUAUCGAACAGGAUUAGAUACCCGGGUAGUC